GCGCAGGUGGCGAAAUUGGUAGACGCACUACCUUGAGGUGGUAGCGCCAGCAAUGGCAUGGAGGUUCAAGUCCUCUCCUGCGCA
rnacentral:tRNA from 1 species